UGGGGAAUAUUGCACAAUGGGCGCAAGCCUGAUGCAGCCAUGCCGCGUGAGUGAUGAAGGCCUUAGGGUCGUAAAGCUCUUUCGCCUGUGAUGAUAAUGACAGUAGCAGGUAAAGAAACCCCGGCUAACUCCGUGCCAGCAGCCGCGGUAAUACGGAGGG
rnacentral:rRNA from 1 species